rnacentral:miRNA from 3 species
CCUCUGGGCCCUUCCUCCAGC